rnacentral:rRNA from 1 species
AACGAACGCUGGCGGCAUGCCUAACACAUGCAAGUCGAACGAGAUCUUCGGGUCUAGUGGCGCACGGGUGCGUAACGCGUGGGAAUCUGCCCGUUGGUUCGGAAUAACAGUUGGAAACGACUGCUAAAACCGGAUGAUGACGAAAGUCCAAAGAUUUAUCGCCAGAGGAUGAGCCCGCGUAGGAUUAGCUAGGUGGUGUGGUAAAGGCGCACCAAGGCGACGAUCGUUAGCUGGUCUGAGAGGAUGAUCAGCCACACUGGGACUGAGACACGGCCCAGACUCCUACGGGAGGCAGCAGUGGGGAAUAUUGGACAAUGGGCGAAAGCCUGAUCCAGCAAUGCCGCGUGAGUGAUGAAGGCCGUAGGGUUGUAAAGCUCUUUUACCCGGGAUGAUAAUGACAGUACCGGGAGAAUAAGCUCCGGCUAACUCCGUGCCAGCCGCCGCGGUAA